rnacentral:lncRNA from 1 species
GUUUUUCUCCCGGUGCAGGAAAACAUGAAGAACGGGGAAAGUAGCUGCCGCAUGCCAAUGUGAAACUCCGAGGAGUCUAGCCAUUCUGAUCUGGCCUUCCAGGUCAUUAGGAGGCUCUGCCAUCGUGUGAGGAGGGAAAGCCUGCUGUCUGGAGAGCACACUGGUCUCCAGCGUGGGGAGAGAGAGCACUUUCGGGCUUUGCUGAGGAGGGUCUUCAGAAAAAAGAUGUGCAGCUCGGACAUGGAGGGCAGAAGGUGCUCAGGAAGGAUCUUCUGCAUGCAGGAGCCUCCUCUCUCGAAGGGUGUUCUCCAAUCAUGAGCUUAUUUGCUGUUUACAUGCCCGAGGAGGACUGACCUUAGCAGCUAUGAUGACCUCAUUUAUCACUGUGGAUAAGCACUUGGCCAGGGUCUCAGCCAGCACCCCAGGCCCAGCCUCCUGGUUUACUCAUUUCUGGGGGUGGUGGCAUCUGCCCACUGUCCUGAACUUUCCUCUGCUUGGGUAGGGACAGGGAGCCCCAGCAGCACUUGUUCCAGGAUGACCCAGCAAAUUGCAAGGUGGCAUUUGGCCUUUUCCUCAGCAAUUGCCAGACUUUGUCCCAGGGUGAGGAGGAAGCCAAUGGAAGAGCUGGGGCACCAAGCGUCAGGGAGACAAGGGACUUGUGUGCAGCCAGUACUGCCAACAAGAAGGCCCAAUCAAGAUCCUCCCACAACAAGAGCAGAUUGUGAGCGUGGCAAGCUCUAUGCUGAGCACUGGAAGGACAAAGAGAGAUUGGGCACAGACUUCUCACUGAUCCAGGUGAUGAAGAGCUCACAUCUGAGAGGAUGUGACCAUGGAUGACCCACCAGAAUGUCAUGGGAUCCAGCUACAGCCAAGGAAGCACAGAGCACCGUGGG